rnacentral:rRNA from 1 species
UACGUAGGGGCCUAGCGUUGUCCGGAAUUAUUGGGCGUAAAGAGCUCGUAGGCGGUUCGGCAAGUCGGAUGUGAAAUCUCCACGCUUAACGGGGAGGGGCCAUUCGAAACUGCUGUGACUCGAGUCCGGUAGGGGAGUGUGGAAUUCCCGGUGUAGCGGUGAAAUGCGCAGAUAUCGGGAGGAACACCAGUGGCGAAGGCGGCACUCUGGGCCGGUACUGACGCUGAGGAGCGAAAGCGUGGGGAGCGAACAGG